AUUGAACGCUGGCGGCAGGCUUAACACAUGCAAGUCGAACGAGCGAGAGAGAGCUUGCUUUCUCAAGCGAGUGGCGAACGGGUGAGUAACGCGUGAGGAACCUGCCUCAAAGAGGGGGACAACAGUUGGAAACGACUGCUAAUACCGCAUAAGCCCACGACCCGGCAUCGGGUUGAGGGAAAAGGAGCAAUCCGCUUUGAGAUGGCCUCGCGUCCGAUUAGCUGGUUGGUGAGGUAACGGCCCACCAAGGCGACGAUCGGUAGCCGGACUGAGAGGUUGAACGGCCACAUUGGGACUGAGACACGGCCCAG
rnacentral:rRNA from 1 species